AGUACAAAUGAUGAGCCAUCAGGGACUUAAUGCUGAUGCGUGAUGUUAUUUUAAGUUCUGAUGUAC